rnacentral:rRNA from 1 species
UACGGGGGGGGCAAGCGUUGUUCGGAAUUACUGGGCGUAAAGGGCUCGUAGGCGGCCAACUAAGUCAGACGUGAAAUCCCUCGGCUUAACCGGGGAACUGCGUCUGAUACUGGAUGGCUUGAGAUUGGGAGAGGGAUGCGGAAUUCCAGGUGUAGCGGUGAAAUGCGUAGAUAUCUGGAGGAACACCGGUGGCGAAGGCGACAUCCUGGACCAACACUGACGCUGAGGAGCGAAAACUAGGGGAGCAAACGGG